GGGAUUGUGGCUCAGUGGCAGAGUGCUUGCCUCUCAAGUAUGAGGCACUGGGUUCGAUUCUCAGCACCA
rfam:Ictidomys tridecemlineatus contig057538, whole genome shotgun sequence.